rnacentral:precursor_RNA from 1 species
UCCAAGAAAAAAAGAAAAAAAACCGACCUUCCUUCACCCCCACAUGGGGGUGGGAGGAUCGGGAUGUGGUCGUCCGUGCCCCACGACGGCGCGGUUGGCUGAAGCAUGCGCAUUGGCUCAUCGUCCCUUCUGACCCCAAUGAGCGGUGGCCCCCUUCGGAGUCGGCGUUGGUCGGGUGUCAGGCGAUCGAGACUCCGCAUAGGACUUUAUGGCACAGCGGGCGGCUUGCAUUUUUUCACGCGGCCCCCAUCCCCUACCCCAGC